UCUUGGUCAUUUAGAGGAAGUAAAAGUCGUAACAAGGUUUCCGUAGGUGAACCUGCGGAAGGAUCAUUAUUGAAUGAAACUUCUGGCUGGAUGUUGUUGUGCUGGCCCUUUGGGGCAAUGUGCACACCUCUGGUCAUUUGUUUCUUCUGUUCCACCUGUGCACUGCUUGUAGACACCUCUGUGUCUAUGAUAUGUUACACACACACAUAUAUACAAGAUGGUUAGGCAUAUUGCAUAUAUAUAAUAAAAUACAACUUUCAACAACGGAUCUCUUGGCUCUCGCAUCGAUGAAGAACACAGCGAAAUGUGAUAAGUAAUGUGAAUUGCAGAAUCCAGUGAAUCAUCGAAUCUUUGAACGCAUCUUGCGCUCCUUGGCACUCCAAGGAGCAUGCCUGUUUGAGUGUCGUUAAACUAUCAAAACACUCUUCUUGGGUGUUUUGGACUUGGGAGUAUCUUGCUGGUCUGUUUGGGCCAGCUCUCCUCAAAAGCAUUAGCUUUGGAGACCAUCAGUGUGAUAAUUUGUUUGCACUGACUUGAGUGUCUCGGCUUCUCUUUUUCAAUAAAAUACCCCUUUGACCUCAAAUCAGGUAGGACUACCCGCUGAACUUAAGCAUAUCAAUAAGCGGAGGAA
rnacentral:rRNA from 1 species